UCCGCUGUGGAUCACACUAACACACAGGCACACUCCUAUAAUCCAGCUUUCGAGGUACCUUGUCAGUAGAUAUCAGCGACCGAAGCGCCUGUAUCUUGUGUCCCGCGUACCGAGCUCGCGAGUCGAGAAAGUCGUUUAAAACUGUUCAUGAUUUGACAUAACAGAAUUGUAGGGUCCGAAGGUGCAGCCUCGAUCGAAUCGUUUUCGUAUACAGACAUUGCUGACCAGAGGGAUAUCACAUCGCAAGUGAUAUGAAGAAGGAAAGGCCGUGACAAAAGGAAUUUGAAGACAAGUAGCCCCGGUGAAUGCAGAAAUAUGCCUUCAGCUACCGAUUGACUCAUAUAUCGAUACUGGACAGGAACAUUGAAAGUGAAAUGUAUUUAUGUGUCCAGUUGAUAAAUAUAGGACAUGCCUAUUACAGGAAUAUAGAAGCAAAGUAAAUAAAGAACAGGUUCCAAGUGGAAGAAAAUACAAGUGUGAUAAAGGAGAUCGUAGAAGUUCCAUGUGACAUUAUGUGUUAGUACAUAUGAAACUAUUGAAAAGUAUGCAAUUGUAUGGUCAGUACCAGAGAUGAUGUGCCUUUUUACAAAAUUUGUGAAGAAUGUAUAUGUACUGGAAGCUGAAGUUCAAAAAGUUGAUUUAAAAUUUUGAGAAUUGAUGAUUAAGCAAUUAAUUAUGAACCAUGUAACUACAUUACAAAUAAAAAAAUUGUUUUUUGGG